rnacentral:misc_RNA from 1 species
UCCGGCUUAUCACCGGCAGUUUCCUUAAAGUGCCCAGCCAAACCUGAUGGCAACUAAGGAUGAGGGUUGCGCUCGUUGCGGGACUUAACCCAACAUCUCACGACACGAGCUGACGACAGCCAUGCAGCACCUGUGUGGACGCCACCCGAAGUGAAGAACUCCAUCUCUGAAGCUCAUACGUCCCAUGUCAAGGGUUGGUAAGGUUCUGCGCGUUGCUUCGAAUUAAACCACAUACUCCACCGCUUGUGCGGGUCCCCGUCAAUUCCUUUGAGUUUUAAUCUUGCGACCGUACUCCCCAGGCGGAUUAUUUAAUGCGUUAGCUGCGAUACCGAAGGGUAACCCCCCCGACAUCUAAUAAUCAUCGUUUACAGCGUGGACUAC